GUCAGGAUGGCCGAGUGGUCUAAGGCGUCAGAUUUAAGCUCUGAUUCUCAAUCGAGAGCGUGGGUUCGAACCCCACUCCUGACA
rfam:Stegodyphus mimosarum contig36866, whole genome shotgun sequence.